UACGUAGGGUGCAAGCGUUGUCCGGAAUUAUUGGGCGUAAAGAGCUCGUAGGCGGUUUGUCGCGUCUGCUGUGAAAACCCGAGGCUCAACCUCGGGCCUGCAGUGGGUACGGGCAGACUAGAGUGCGGUAGGGGAGAUUGGAAUUCCUGGUGUAGCGGUGGAAUGCGCAGAUAUCAGGAGGAACACCGAUGGCGAAGGCAGAUCUCUGGGCAGUAACUGACGCUGAGGAGACGAAAGCGUGGGGAGCGAACAGG
rnacentral:rRNA from 1 species